rnacentral:piRNA from 1 species
UGAAAACACACACAGCACAGUUUGUAUUCA